AUUAAACGCUGGCGGCAGGCCUAACACAUGCAAGUCGAGCGGAUGAAGGGAGCUUGCUCCUGGAUUCAGCGGCGGACGGGUGAGUAAUGCCUAGGAAUCUGCCUGGUAGUGGGGGAUAACGUCCGGAAACGGGCGCUAAUACCGCAUACGUCCUGAGGGAGAAAGUGGGGGAUCUUCGGACCUCACGCUAUCAGAUGAGCCUAGGUCGGAUUAGCUAGUUGGUGGGGUAAAGGCCUACCAAGGCGACGAUCCGUAACUGGUCUGAGAGGAUGAUCAGUCACACUGGAACUGAGACACGGUCCAGACUCCUACGGGAGGCAGCAGUGGGGAAUAUUGGACGAUGGGCGAAAGCCUGAUCCAGCCAUGCCGCGUGUGUGAAGAAGGUCUUCGGAUUGUAAAGCACUUUAAGUUGGGAGGAAGGGCAGUAAGUUAAUACCUUGCUGUUUUGACGUUACCAACAGAAUAAGCACCGGCUAACUUCGUG
rnacentral:rRNA from 1 species